rnacentral:rRNA from 1 species
GUGGGGAAUUUUGGACAAUGGGCGAAAGCCUGAUCCAGCCAUGCCGCGUGCAGGAUGAAGGCCUUCGGGUUGUAAACUGCUUUUGUACGGAACGAAAAGACUCCUUCUAAUAAAGGGGGUCCAUGACGGUACCGUAAGAAUAAGCACCGGCUAACUACGUGCCAGCAGCCGCGGUAAUACGUAGGGUGCAAGCGUUAAUCGGAAUUACUGGGCGUAAAGCGUGCGCAGGCGGUUAUAUAAGACAGAUGUGAAAUCCCCGGGCUCAACCUGGGAACUGCAUUUGUGACUGUAUAGCUGGAGUACGGUAGAGGAGGAUGGAAUUCCGCGUGUAGCAGUGAAAUGCGUAGAUAUGCGGAGGAACACCGAUGGCGAAGGCAAUCCCCUGGACCUGUACUGACGCUCAUGCACGAAAGCGUGGGGAGCAAACAGGAUUAGAAACCCCAGUAGUCC